CGAAUGACCUGCUGGCUGCGGCUUGCAAGAACUCAUUAGAGUACGGCUGCGGUCGCAGCCACUGCCUUCUAGAACACGGCUGUGGUUACAGCCACUGCUUUCUACUACUGUGCCAGUGGUAGCGCGUGAUUUCAAGCCACAGGACUCCUCGUGCACGUACGAAGCUGACUGCUUGUGCAUGUACACUGUACUAAGUAUGAACACGUUUUGGCGCUUUUUAACUCGAGUUUUGCCCUGGCAGUGGAUCGUCGGCUCUUGAAAGGCCAGCUGCACAAGUAAGGAUGGAGCGGUGAAGAGCGACUGGCUCGGAGUCCAUCUUGAAGGUUGGAUUAGAGCGGCUUGGGGCAUGGAGAAAUUCCAAGUUUGGAGUCGGCGUUUAGGCAUGAUGUUCCUUGGUAGCUGCCUCACCAUGGGAGAUUGUUGCUUGAGGAGAGAUGCAUCAGUCACAUUUGAUAUAGAGUUUUGCCCUGGCAGUGGAUCGUCGGCUCUUGAAAGGCCAGCUGCAAAAGUAAGGAUGGAGCGGUGAAGAGCGGCUGGCUCGGAGUCCAUCUGGAAGGAAGGUUAGAGCAGCUUGGGGCAUGGAGGAAUUCCUUCCAAGUUUGGAGUCGGCGUUUAGGCAUGAUGUUCCUUGGUAGCUGCCUACCAUGGGAGAUAGUUGUCUGAGGAGAGAUGCAUCAGUCACAUUUGAUAUAGGUAUGUAGAUGCUUCCCAUGAGUGGAGAGGUCUGUGCAUGGCAUUGGCCAUGAAGAAGUGACCCUUGGACUAUCAGGGUGUUGAAGGUCAUUCCAUGAAAGUUCAUUCCUCCCAGACAGUCCACCCAGAGACAGACCCCCCAUGCAGUUGGCAACACAUAUUGCAGCCUUUUCCUGCCUUCUCCAAGCUUGAUGGCAGUGUAGUGCUUCAGUCAGUUCCUUCCUGUGUUAUGGGUCAAAACAGCCAAAAAAGUAGAUCUGAACGCAUCCAACAAUCGGAGCGCCUCAUCAUUUGGUAUGUUAAGCAAAAUUCCCAGGUAAGUGGCCUUCUUCACAUUUUGAAAUUAAUUUUGAAUUUAAAACAUUUAUAACCUGACUAAGUCACUGAUAUAAUUAUUUAUAACUUUACGUUUGAAAAGUUCUGUACCGGAGUCACCCGGAGUGCAAUUCUUCCUCGUAAAACGAACCGCAAAUAGCUUCACCGUUAUAAUCUUUUAAUGCGUACACGGGUCUUGUUUGCCGCCCACUGCGUUUGGCUAUUGUAAAUAUCUCCUCGGACCAGGAUGGGAGGUAGGACUUUUCAAAGGUCAGCCGCCGUUUACUGACUCGAACCGUAUCUCCCACUUUAAACCGAAAUUUAGAGGGUGGAUUGGGCGGCGCAUACAGACGUUUUUGGACAGCCCUGAAGAAACCCCCGUUCUAUAAAAUAAAUUGUCUCAACGCUUCUAAUUUUUCCGC